AUUGAACGCUGGCGGCAGGCCUAACACAUGCAAGUCGAACGAGUGGCGGACGGGUGAGUAAUGUCUGGUAAACUGCGCGAUGGAGGGGGAUAACUACUGGAAACGGUAGCUAAUACCGCAUACCAUCGGAUGGGCACAUCUGGGAUUAGCUAGUAGGUGGGGUAACUGCUCACCUAGUCGACGAUUCCGAUCUGGUCUGAGAGGAUGACCUGCCUCACUGCAACUGAGACACGGUCCAGACUCCUACGGGAGGCAGCAUUGGCGUAUAUUGCCCCAGUGGCGCAAGCCUGGUGCAGCCAUGCCGCGUGUCUUACGAAGGCCUUCGGGUUGUAAAGUACUUUCAGCGCGGAGGCGGUACUCGCAGAAGAAGCACCUGCUAACGCCGUGCCAGCAGCCGCGGUAAUUC
rnacentral:rRNA from 1 species